rnacentral:rRNA from 1 species
AUGCAGUCGAGCGCGGGAAGCAAGCGGAUCCCCUUCGGGGGUGACGCUUGUGGAACGAGCGGCGGACGGGUGAGUAACACGUGGGCAACCUGCCUGUAAGACUGGGAUAACCCCGGGAAACCGGGGCUAAUACCGGAUAACACUGGACUCCACAUGGAGGCUAGUUGAAAGAUGGCUUCUUGCUAUCACUUACAGAUGGGCCCGCGGCGCAUUAGCUAGUUGGUGAGGUAACGGCUCACCAAGGCGACGAUGCGUAGCCGACCUGAGAGGGUGAUCGGCCACACUGGGACUGAGACACGGCCCAGACUCCUACGGGAGGCAGCAGUAGGGAAUCUUCCGCAAUGGACGAAAGUCUGACGGAGCAACGCCGCGUGAACGAUGAAGGUCUUCGGAUCGUAAAGUUCUGUUGUCAGGGAAGAACAAGUGCCGUGCGAAUAGAGCGGCACCUUGACGGUACCUGACGAGGAAGCCCCGGCUAACUACGUGCCAGCAGCCGCGGUAAUACGUAGGGGGCAAGCGUUGUCCGGAAUUAUUGGGCGUAAAGCGCGCGCAGGCGGUUCCUUAAGUCUGAUGUGAAAGCCCACGGCUCAACCGUGGAGGGUCAUUGGAAACUGGGGAACUUGAGUACAGAAGAGGAGAGUGGAAUUCCACGUGUAGCGGUGAAAUGCGUAUAUAUGUGGAGGAACACCAGUGGCGAAGGCGACUCUCUGGUCUGUAACUGACGCUGAGGCGCGAAAGCGUGGGGAGCAAACAGGAUUAUAUACCCUGGUAGUCCACGCCGUAAACGAUGAGUGCUAGGUGUUAGGGGGCUUCCACCCCCUUAGUGCUGAAGUAACACAUUAAGCACUCCGCCUGGGGAGUACGGACGCCAGGCUGAAACUCAAAAGAAUUGAUGGGGCCCGCACAGCGGUGGAGNAUGUGUUUAAUUC